ensembl:lncRNA
CAAUUACUCCUUGUCGCUCCCCAGUCAACUCAAAGAAUAGUACAACGGCAAACACGACAAGUAUAAAAACCUCGUCCGUUUGGGAAGGUGCGCUCGCAUUCAGUAGAGCCAGGCAAAAGUAUAAAUCCCACUUAACUUUUUUUUUUGUCGUCUUCUAAAUAAUGCCACGAGUGGGGCUGUAGAAGUGAUGUCGGUUGCGUCUGCGCAGUGAGACAUAGGAAACAGAAAUACUGCAAAAUAAUAAUAUUAACGCGACUAAACGAGACAAAAUAAUGUUAUAACGUUUUGUUUCGUCUUGUUUUGGUCAACGAAAAUGAAGAGACAUUUUUGGCAUAGUUUUUAUUUUGUAAACCACAUUUAGUCUCGUUUUUAUUCGUCAACAAUAUUGCAUUAUACAUUUAAUUAUAGUCAUCGUCACAUGACCAGCAUUUACGUUGCGUCUCGUCUCGUUUUCGUCACAUGAUAAAAAUUGACUAAAGCCUCUGAAGAGGGUGUUGCUUCAGGGCCUUGGCAGCUUUUCUGUCCUUGAUCUCCAGUUUUAUGUCAUUUAGCAUGUGUGUGUGUGUGUGUGUGUGUGUGUGUGUGUGAAACACAGAAGACGGUGUGGCAUUCUCUCCACUCCAUGGCUCUGUGAGCAGUGCGGACGAUUUGUCUGGUAGCCCUCUUCCCCUGAGGACAGACAGAGACACACAGAGCCCACAGACUGCAGACAGCAGUGAUGAAGACAGAGAGCAUGUUAAUUACUAUGAAUCAGAUUUGCUCUACAUGUAAAGACAGGUUUCAGAUUCCAAAUUCAGAUACCAAGUUUUGGGUAAAAGUCACAGGGUCUCUAAUAAUGGUGUAAAGAAAACGAUGAGAAAUAUAUUUGGAUCAGUUCCAAAUAUCCAGAUCUGUUGAAAUUGUCAUCAUGUAAAGUGAACAUGAAUCCAGUUUGAAUCCAGUUGUAGAGCAGCUGUUUAAACAGACCAGAAAAAAAGAAAAGAAAAAAGACCCUGGUAUAUAAAAAUAAAUAAAUAAAUAAAAAUAGUUCA